rnacentral:rRNA from 1 species
UGAGCAACCUGCCCUUGACUCUGGAAUAACAGUUGGAAACAGCUGCUAAUACCGGAUAUGACUCUGUGUACAUCACACGGAGUGGAAG